GUAUCCGGAUUUAUUGGGUUUAAAGGGUGCGUAGGCGGCAAGGUAAGUCAGCGGUGAAAGACCAGGGCUCAACUCUGGAAGUGCCGUUGAUACUGUCUGGCUAGAAUGAUUCCGCCGUGGGAGGAAUGAGUAGUGUAGCGGUGAAAUGCAUAGAUAUUACUCAGAACACCGAUUGCGAAGGCAUCUCACGAGGGGUUCAUUGACGCUGAGGCACGAAAGCGUGGGGAUCGAACAGGAUUAGAUACCCUGGUAGUCCACGCAGUAAACGAUGAUGGCUAACUGUCGGGCCUUCGGGUUCGGCGGCCAAGCGAAAGCGAUAAGCCAUCCACCUGGGGAGUACGACCGCAAGGUUGAAACUCAAAGGAAUUGACGGGGGCCCGCACAAGCGGAGGAACAUGUGGUUUAAUUCGAUGAUACGCGAGGAA
rnacentral:rRNA from 1 species